UUUGUGGUACAGUCCUGGUGUGGAGCUCUGUGUUGUUAUCUUUUACAAUGAUUUCCCUUUUAUAUAAACUCAACUGGUUAAUGAAUAAGUAUGUUAUGACAAAAAUAUCAUUUUAAUAUUGUUUUUCCUGUUUUUAGAAAAUCCAAACUUCCUGAUGAGGAGCAACCAAACAUCAGCCCCAUCAUCAGGAAAGCUUCUCUGAAAAAGGAGAAGAGGUUAAAAAAGAAAACAAAGAAGGAGAAAAGGGAGGUGGAACAGAAGGAGGAAGACGAGGAGGAAAUGAAGGGAGAGAAGGAGGUGAAGGUGCAGAAGAAGAAGGAUGAAAGAUCAGGGGAAGUUCUGAUUGAAACCAAAGAGAAAGCAGUACAGACAGAGAGCACACAAGAAGUAAAAUGGAAACUUUUGGAGUUUUGGAUUAAUAAAGACCUAGAAGUACAGAGACGGCGAGAGGAAGAACUAAGGGAGGAGGAGGAGUUCUUUAGCUGAAAGAACAACUGAAGCUACCAGAGCUACGUGUACCAGCCAGGGCUCUGCCUCUUCUGCCACUCCUGUGUGCCAAUAAG